GGGAGUGGGCGCGUGAUCGCUUCGCUGGCAAAGAGCGGAGAGGAAAGUCCGGACUCCACAGGGCGGGAUGGUUCGUAACACGAACGCCGGGCGACCGGGGGAAAGCGCCACAGAAAACAAACCGCCCGCCAGUUCCCUGGCGGGUAAGGGUGAAACGGUGCGGUAAGAGCGCACCGCCCGGCUGGCGACAGUCGGGGCACGGCAAGCCCCAUCCGGAGCAAGACCAAAUAAGAAGACGUUUGAGGGCGGCCCGUCCGAUGUCUUCGGGUAGGUUGCACGAGACGCCGGGCGACUGACGUCCCAGUUAAAUGAUCACGGCUCGCAUGAGUACAGAAUCCGGCUUACAACCCACUCCCGCUU
rnacentral:RNase_P_RNA from 1 species